AUUUGGUGAGCGCACUCUACUAUUCAUCUCUGUUCUCAACUGCAAAUUCCCUAAAACCGUGAGAAAGCCUUAUAAGGCGACACCGAUACACCGCAAAGAAACCUUCAAGGCUUAUCGCUGCUGCUCAAGAACAACGGCGAAAUCAACACCGAUUCUCCGCCUAGGCUUAUAUUAAUAUCGAAUUAUAUGCUCGAGUUUCUGUUGCUGUGCUCUGUUACAAGCUAGCCGAGGUAGUUAAGAUGGCUGCGUCCGGAAGAGAAACUAAUGAGAGUCGUUCUGCCAUUGAAUCUGGAAAGAUGUUUCUUUUGGAGCUUCUUGACUCUGCGAUAAUGUUCUUUUAUUGAAUUGGGGAACAUGAGCACAAGAUAAAGUGGUGGACAUGACCAAUUUUUAUAUGGAUUGGGGAAUAAUGCUGCAAAGUCUUAGGUCAUGAUCAAGAUUAUCAUCCAGGAAAGAGGAAGCGAGGCAAAGAUUAUGAGGGAAUGAUAAGGUGCACACUUUCCAUACAACAAAUAAGAACUGGCCUCUUGACAAAAAUGCUUACUGGCUACAACUACUGGUACGUUCAUCAGUUUAUUGAAUUGAAAACCGUAGUUUAUAGUGCUUCACAGUGGAUACCAAGAGACUUGCACCGAGUUAGUGGUCCAUCAGAGCUUAUAAAUAGAAGUGUUCCAGCAGUCUAUACAUGCUACAAGAAUUGCUCCUUGUGAUCUUUAAUAUGUUCAGGUGCUCAUGUAAAAGAGUGAUGAAAGAAAUUCAAGCUUGUCUUUUUUUUUUUUUCGAUUGAGGGAGGCAGAUCAAAGGUAACAAAGAUUGAUUUGAAUGACAAAGAAAAAGAAAAAAGAGUUUUAGAGUAAUUGAUAAGGACAGAGUUAAAAUUUAGGAAUGAGUUAAGGAAGUAAAAAUCCAUAUAGAAACUUACUUCCAGUGUAUAUAAAAAAAACUCACUUAUCAACAAACCUAUAGAAUCAAAUCAUCAAGUUUAUGCUAGUCUCACAUACCAAAUGUAAUAUUUUGAGACAAUACAUGUAUAAAAUCUAACAAUAAGCCAAUCACGAGAUAAAGAGUUUUGUAGAUGAUGUACAGUCAAAUUUUGAUAAUUAAACCUAUAACAUUUAUCAAUUAACAUACCAGAACAAUCAAACAAAAUCAGUGAACUAAAGCAAAAGAAUUGAAGUUAAAAUAAGUAUUUUCUUAUAAGCUGGAACAGGUACACACACACACAAUGUGAGGAGUCUAGCCGUCUAGGUUGAUCGAGGUAUCUUGAGCUUUCCCCCUGGAUAGGAUUUUUAUAGGGUGUUUUUUUCCCUUAUUUAUGUACUUUUUAGUAAUCAGUUAUCACCUGACUAUCCUUACAGCAAUUUACAUCCGUAAAGAAUUGCUGUAAUUGACCAGUGUUCAACGAAAUUUAAAAUCACUGAAUUUCUUUUGCUUACAGUGUGGUAGUUCUUGAUUCUUCUCUCUUCCUCGGUGACCCUAUUUCCUUCCGGGAGAAGGAUUCAUUGCAUCUGGAAUCGUGGAUACCUCUUAAAGACAUGAAUGUUGCUAGAACUAAUCAUCUCUUUGGAAAUAAUUUUUUAUUUAUAACACAGCGGUGAUUGAUUGUGUUGCUUAUUCUUUAGCUGACUAGGUGACAUGCAGGUGCAUCCUUCUUCUGUUCUGUAUCUGUCUCUGCACUGUUGUGAAUAACUGGCUCGCUGCCCAUCUAUGUUACCCUUACACACUAGUUAGUCUGAAAGCAUGUGUCCGGCAUUCUAGAAUGUACCUUUAUCUAUCUGUAUGACUUGGUAAUGGUUAUUGAUAGCUCUUCAUAGUUGUAUUUCCACUAACUAAACUUUCUGUAGGUGAGGUACAGGGAUCAUACCAAAUUAAAGUUACUACAACUGCUUUGGCUCUUUUGCUGUCUACCAGGCAUGUUGAAUUGGCAAAAAACUUUGUUCAAGGUCAUUUGAUUCAGGUUUGAAUUCUUAUCCUAAACGUAUUCGCAGAGUUACUGUAUGUAACUCUCAAGAGCUGACUGUCUAUCAUGUGAAGAGCGUUGUAGGAAUAACAACGCGUUCAAAAGCUAAAUCAGCUCCCGAUCAGUGGACCGUGAUGGCUGUAGUUGGGUGAUGGGUGUGAUCGACAAUCCCUUCUAUGAAUUUGCAUUAGUUCUGAUGUAUCCGGCAAUGAGAAGAAUACUGUCAACAUUGUGUGCAUUUAAGGUGUUAUAGUCAUUCUUGGUCAACCAAAGCGUUCAUUUUUCUUGUGUGUGGCUUGUUGUGUGUAAGAGAGUAACAAGUAAGCAUAAUGUAGAAAGUCUAUAAUGAGUCAAAUUAGCAUCUUUCUUAUACUAUCAAUGCCCAGAACCAAUAAAAAAGAGGAAGAUUUAGUCAUUUUGUGUGUGUUCCUGUAAGUGAGUUGCUUCCUUUAUGCAUAAUAUUUCUAACAACUACAACAAAAUCUACCCAGCUUAGACUUGCUUCUGGUAAGUGUAACAGGAGUAUUCAGAGAAAGUAUUAAUGGAACUACAAUUAGUAAAUAUAUCAUUGGGUGGAGGAAAUAUGAAGUAAGAAUAAUUUUUGCAAACACUGAUCAUUUUUAUUUCGUUGUUGUGAUUUUUUCAAGCGGCAUAUUUACCUUGAAUCUUACUCAAAGUUGUUUUGUUUAGGUGUGUUGUUCUUGUGAGUGCUGAUAGUACUGACAGUGUUCAGUUCUGGGAUAUUAAGCAUGGAACACUGUUGCAGGCUCAUUCCCUUCACAAAGGCGAUUCGUACGCUUUAGCUGCUGCCCCUUCCCACGAUAGGGUGUUUUCUGCCGGUUCUGAUGGCAAGCAACUGUUCCCAAAUCUUCAAGUGUAGCCAUGCCUCCCUCGUAGCAGUAUUAAGCACCUAUUCCAUAGUUCAGAAAAUGAUUUAGUGUUUGCUGGUACCAUUAAAGACGUUAACCGAAGGUAAAGUGAAGUAUGUAUACUAAGGAAAAUAGCCAAAUUAUAUGGAGCAGCAAAAUAUUGUGGAUGUCUUUGAUAUUAUGGAAGUUAACUACUGUAUUUUGAUUUUAGAGAUUUUAGAGAUACAAAAUAACAUUGACUUAUUUUCUGUAAACAAAUUGGUGUUUUGUUUUAUGCAAAUACUUUUGUGGUAACAAUUAUGAAAUCAAUGAAAGUUUUUGCUUAAGACUA